rnacentral:rRNA from 1 species
CCNGACGCGUAACGAGAACGGCGAGGUCGGCCUACCGUACGGUAGUGGUCNGUGAUUGGGGUG